rnacentral:misc_RNA from 1 species
GAAAUGCGAUAAGUAAUGUGAAUUGCAGAAUUCAGUGAAUCAUCGAAUCUUUGAACGCACAUUGCGCCCGUCAGCAUUCUGGCGGGCAUGCCUGUUCGAGCGUCAUUUCAACCCUCAGGACCCCCCUUUCGCGGGGAGGGACCUGGCGUUGGGGAUCGGCCCGCCCCCCGCGGCGGCGCCGUCCCCGAAAUCUAGUGGCGGUCUCGCUGCAGCCUCCCCUGCGUAGUAGUUACAACCUCGCAUCGGAGCGCGGCGCGGCCACGCCGUAAAACCCCCGACUUUCUGAACGUUGACCUCGGAUCAGGUAGGAAUACCCGCUGAACUUAAGCAU